AAUAUUGCGCAAUGGAGGAAACUCUGACGCAGCGACGCCGCGUGAGCGAUGAAGGUCUUCGGAUCGUAAAGCUCUGUCCUUGGGGAAGAAGGUCUUCGGACUUGACGGUACCAUAGCAGGAAGCCCCGGCUAACUACGUGCCAGCAGCCGCGGUAAUACGUAGGGGGCGAACGUUGUCCGGAAUUAUUGGGCGUAAAGGGUACGCAGGCGGCCAAAUAAGUCAGAUGUGAAAUCCCAAGGCUUAACCUUGGUAAGCAUUUGAAACUGUAUGGCUUGAGUUAAGGAGAGGAAAGUGGAAUUCCUGGUGUAGCGGUGAAAUGCGUAGAUAUCAGGAGGAAUACCAGUGGCGAAGGCGACUUUCUGGACUUAAACUGACGCUGAGGUACGAAAGCGUGGGGAGCAAACA
rnacentral:rRNA from 1 species